CCUACGGGAUGCAGCAGUGGGGAAUAUUGGGCAAUGGGCGCAAGCCUGACCCAGCAACGCCGCGUGAAGGAAGAAGGCUUUCGGGUUGUAAACUUCUUUUGUCAGGGACGAAGCAAGUGACGGUACCUGACGAAUAAGCCACGGCUAACUACGUGCCAGCAGCCGCGGUAAUACGUAGGUGGCAAGCGUUAUCCGGAUUUACUGGGUGUAAAGGGCGUGUAGGCGGGACUGCAAGUCAGAUGUGAAAACCACGGGCUCAACCUGUGGCCUGCAUUUGAAACUGUAGUUCUUGAGUACUGGAGAGGCAGACGGAAUUCCUAGUGUAGCGGUGAAAUGCGUAGAUAUUAGGAGGAACACCAGUGGCGAAGGCGGUCUGCUGGACAGCAACUGACACUGAGGCUCGAAAGUGUGGGUAUCAAACAGGAUUAGAUACCCGAGUAGUC
rnacentral:rRNA from 1 species